CCUACCUACCUACCUACCUGACGACCUACUUGACAUUCCACUAAUACUGCAACCCAAUCCAGUACAACCCAGUGGAAGAAUGACCUGAAAUGCAAAAAUAUUUCAAGAAACUAUGGGAUAUCUUCUCGUCGUAGUCAACAUGAGACACAUUCUCUUGAAGGUUCUACCGAAAAGCAAAGAGGGGGUGAUCGGAAAGGAGCAAAAUGUUCAAGAAAACACUUAAUGACUAACUGUAAUAACUGAAAAUGAAGGUUUUUCUAAUAAAGGCAAGUGCCA